GCUCAGAACGAACGCGGCGGGCGCGCCUAAUACAUGCAAGUCGAACGAGAAUGUGUAGCAAUACACAUGUACAGUGGCGAACGGGUGAGGAAUACAUGGGUAACCUACCCUCGAGUGGGGAAUAACUAGCCGAAAGGUUAGCUAAUACCGCGUACGCCUCCUGGACUGCGGUUCGGGAGGGAAAGCGAUACCGUGGGUAUCGCGCUCUUGGAUGGGCUCAUGUCCUAUCAGCUUGUUGGUGAGGUAACGGCUCACCAAGGCUUCGACGGGUAGCUGAUCUGAGAGGAUGAUCAGCCACACUGGCACUGCGACACGGGCCAGACUCCUACGGGAGGCAGCAGUAAGGAAUAUUGCGCAAUGGGCGAAAGCCUGACGCAGCGACGCCGCGUGGGGGAUGAAGGUCUUCGGAUUGUAAACCCCUUUCGGGAGGGAAGAUGGGAUGGGGUAACCCAUUCGGACGGUACCUCCAGAAGCAGCCACGGCUAACUUCGUGCCAGCAGCCGCGGUAAUACGAAGGUGGCAAGCGUUGUUCGGAUUUACUGGGCGUACAGGGAGCGUAGGCGGUUGGGUAAGCCCUCCGUGAAAUCUCCAGGCUUAACCUGGAAAGUGCAGAGGGGACUGCUCAGCUAGAGGAUGGGAGAGGAGCGCGGAAUUCCCGGUGUAGCGGUGAAAUGCGUAGAGAUCGGGAGGAAGGCCGGUGGCGAAGGCGGCGCUCUGGAACAUUUCUGACGCUGAGGCUCGAAAGCGUGGGGAGCAAACAGGAUUAGAUACCCUGGUAGUCCACGCCUUAAACGAUGGAUACUAAGUGUCGGCGGGUUACCGCCGGUGCCGCAGCUAACGCAGUAAGUAUCCCGCCUGGGAAGUACGGCCCGCAGGUUGAAACUCAAAG
rnacentral:rRNA from 1 species